rnacentral:rRNA from 1 species
UACGUAGGCAGCGAGCGUUGUUCGGAAUUACUGGGCGUAAAGAGUGUGUAGGCUGCGCUCCAAGUCUGUUGUGAAAUCUCCCGGCUUAACCGGGAGGGUGCGGCGGAAACUGGAGUGCUAGAGGGUGGGAGAGGAAAGCGGAAUUCCUGGUGUAGCGGUGAAAUGCGUAGAUAUCAGGAGGAACACCUGCGGUGUAGACAGCUUUCUGGACCACAUCUGACGCUGAGACACGAAAGCGUGGGUAGCAAACAGG